AAUACAUAAAGAAAUCCUAAAGAACUUCUAAAAAAUUUGUAAAAAAAUCAUAAAGAAAUAAUUAGUAGAUCUUAAAGAAAUACACAAGAAAUCCUAAAGAAAUAUUAAAAAAAUCUUUAAAAAAUCUUAAAUAAAUCCUAAUCAAAUCUUAUUUUAAUUCUAAUUGAAAUCUUAACACAUCUUAAUUAAUUCCUAAAUCAAAU
rnacentral:lncRNA from 1 species